UACGGAGGGGGCUAGCGUUGUUCGGAAUUACUGGGCGUAAAGCGCACGUAGGCGGCUUUGUAAGUUAGAGGUGAAAGCCCGGGGCUCAACUCCGGAAUUGCCUUUAAGACUGCAUCGCUAGAAUUGUGGAGAGGUAAGUGGAAUUCCGAGUGUAGAGGUGAAAUUCGUAGAUAUUCGGAAGAACACCAGUGGCGAAGGCGACUUACUGGACACAUAUUGACGCUGAGGCACGAAAGCGUGGGGAGCAAACAGG
rnacentral:rRNA from 1 species